UCACAUCAGAUCUACAUAUAU
rnacentral:piRNA from 1 species